UUAUUGUUCUUCAACGAGGAAUCCCUAGUAAGCACAAGUCAUCAGCUUGUGCUGAUUACGUCCCUGCCCUUUGUACACACCGCCUGUCGCUACUACCGAUUGAAUGGCUUAGUGAGGCCUUCGGAUUGAGAUUCGGAGUUUGGCAACAGACCCUGGGUUUUAAAAAGUUGGUCAAACUUGGUCAUUUAGAGGAAGUAAAAGUCGU
rnacentral:rRNA from 1 species